GAUGAAGAACGUAGCGAAAUGCGAUAAGUAGUGUGAAUUGCAGAAUUCAGUGAAUCAUCGAAUCUUUGAACGCACAUUGCGCCCUUUGGUAUUCCAAAGGGCAUGCCUGUUCGGGCGUCAUUUGUACCCUCAAGCUUUGCUUGGUGUUGGGCGUCUUGUCUCUAGCUUUGCUGGAGACUCGCCUUAAAGUAAUUGGCAGCCGGCCUACUGGUUUCGGAGCGCAGCACAAGUCGCACUCUCUAUCAGCAAAGGUCUAGCAUCCAUUAAGCCUUUUUUUCAACUUUUGACCUCGGAUCAGGUAGGGAUACCCGCUGAACUUAAGCAUAUCAAUAAGCGGAGGA
rnacentral:misc_RNA from 1 species